AAAAUCCGGGAUCUUAAGGCCGAGAGCUGAUGACGAGUGUCCUUUAGGACACGAAGUGGUUGAUGCCAUGCUUCCAAGAAAAGCUUCUAAGCUUCAGGUAACCAGGAACCGUACCCCAAACCGACACAGGUGGUUGGGUAGAGAAUACCAAGGCGCUUGAGAGAACUCGGGUGAAGGAACUAGGCAAAAUGGCACCGUAACUUCGGGAGAAGGUGCGCCGGUGAGGGUGAAGCAUUUACUGCGUAAGCCCACGCCGGUCGAAGAUACCAGGCCGCUGCGACUGUUUAUUAAAAACACAGCACUCUGCAAACACGAAAGUGGACGUAUAGGGUGUGACGCCUCCCCGGUGCCGGAAGGUUAAUUGAUGGGGUUAGCUAACGCAAGCUCUUGAUCGAAGCCCCGGUAAACGGCGGCCGUAACUAUAACGGUCCUAAGGUAGCGAAACUCCUUGUCGGGUAAGUUCCGACCUGCACGAAUGGCGUAACGAUGGCGGCGCUGUCUCCACCCGAGACUCAGUGAAAUUGAAAUCGCUGUGAAGAUGCAGUGUAUCCGCGGCUAGACGGAAAGACCCCGUGAACCUUUACUAUAGCUUUGCACUGGACUUUGAAUUUGCUUGUGUAGGAUAGGUGGGAGGCUUUGAAGCGUGGACGCCAGUCUGCGUGGAGCCAACCUUGAAAUACCACCCUGGCAACUUUGAGGUUCUAACUCAGGUCCGUUAUCCGGAUCGAGGACAGUGUAUGGUGGGUAGUUUGACUGGGGCGGUCUCCUCCUAAAGAGUAACGGAGGAGUACGAAGGUGCGCUCAGACCGGUCGGAAAACGGUCGUAGAGUAUAAAGGCAAAAGCGCGCUUGACUGCGAGACAGACACGUCGAGCAGGUACGAAAGUAGGUCUUAGUGAUCCGGUGGUUCUGUAUGGAAGGGCCAUCGCUCAACGGAUAAAAGGUACUCCGGGGAUAACAGGCUGAUACCGCCCAAGAGUUCAUAUCGACGGCGGUGUUUGGCACCUCGAUGUCGGCUCAUCACAUCCUGGGGCUGAAGCCGGUCCCAAGGGUAUGGCUGUUCGCCAUUUAAAGUGGUACGCGAGCUGGGUUUAGAACGUCGUGAGACAGUUCGGUCCCUAUCUGCCGUGGACGUUUGAGAUUUGAGAGGGGCUGCUCCUAGUACGAGAGGACCGGAGUGGACGAACCUCUGGUGUUCCGGUUGUCACGCCAGUGGCAUUGCCGGGUAGCUAUGUUCGGAAUAGAUAACCGCUGAAAGCAUCUAAGCGGGAAACUAGCCUCAAGAUAAGAUCUCACUGGAACCUUGAGUUCCCUGAAGGGCCGUCGAAGACUACGACGUUGAUAGGUGGGGUGUGUAAGCGCUGUGAGGCGUUGAGCUAACCCAUACUAAUUGCCCGUGAGGCUUGACU
rnacentral:rRNA from 1 species